AAAUUGAAGAGUUUGAUCAUGGCUCAGAUUGAACGCUGGCGGCAGGCCUAACACAUGCAAGUCGAACGGUAACAGGAAGCAGCUUGCUGUUUCGCUGACGAGUGGCGGACGGGUGAGUAAUGUCUGGGAAACUGCCUGAUGGAGGGGGAUAACUACUGGAAACGGUGGCUAAUACCGCAUAACGUCGCAAGACCAAAGAGGGGGACCUUCGGGCCUCUUGCCAUCAGAUGUGCCCAGAUGGGAUUAGCUAGUUGGUGAGGUAACGGCUCACCAAGGCGACGAUCCCUAGCUGGUCUGAGAGGAUGACCAGCCACACUGGAACUGAGACACGGUCCAGACUCCUACGGGAGGCAGCAGUGGGGAAUAUUGCACAAUGGGCGCAAGCCUGAUGCAGCCAUGCCGCGUGUAUGAAGAAGGCCUUCGGGUUGUAAAGUACUUUCAGCGGGGAGGAAGGUGUUGUGGUUAAUAACCGCAGCAAUUGACGUUACCCGCAGAAGAAGCACCGGCUAACUCCGUGCCAGCAGCCGCGGUAAUACGGAGGGUGCAAGCGUUAAUCGGAAUUACUGGGCGUAAAGCGCACGCAGGCGGUCUGUCAAGUCGGAUGUGAAAUCCCCGGGCUCAACCUGGGAACUGCAUUCGAAACUGGCAGGCUUGAGUCUUGUAGAGGGGGGUAGAAUUCCAGGUGUAGCGGUGAAAUGCGUAGAGAUCUGGAGGAAUACCGGUGGCGAAGGCGGCCCCCUGGACAAAGACUGACGCUCAGGUGCGAAAGCGUGGGGAGCAAACAGGAUUAGAUACCCUGGUAGUCCACGCCGUAAACGAUGUCUACUUGGAGGUUGUGCCCUUGAGGCGUGGCUUCCGGAGCUAACGCGUUAAGUAGACCGCCUGGGGAGUACGGCCGCAAGGUUAAAACUCAAAUGAAUUGACGGGGGCCCGCACAAGCGGUGGAGCAUGUGGUUUAAUUCGAUGCAACGCGAAGAACCUUACCUGGUCUUGACAUCCACGGAAGUUUUCAGAGAUGAGAAUGUGCCUUCGGGAACCGUGAGACAGGUGCUGCAUGGCUGUCGUCAGCUCGUGUUGUGAAAUGUUGGGUUAAGUCCCGCAACGAGCGCAACCCUUAUCCUUUGUUGCCAGCGAUUAGGUCGGGAACUCAAAGGAGACUGCCAGUGAUAAACUGGAGGAAGGUGGGGAUGACGUCAAGUCAUCAUGGCCCUUACGACCAGGGCUACACACGUGCUACAAUGGCGCAUACAAAGAGAAGCGACCUCGCGAGAGCAAGCGGACCUCAUAAAGUGCGUCGUAGUCCGGAUUGGAGUCUGCAACUCGACUCCAUGAAGUCGGAAUCGCUAGUAAUCGUGGAUCAGAAUGCCACGGUGAAUACGUUCCCGGGCCUUGUACACACCGCCCGUCACACCAUGGGAGUGGGUUGCAAAAGAAGUAGGUAGCUUAACCUUCGGGAGGGCGCUUACCACUUUGUGAUUCAUGACUGGGGUGAAGUCGUAACAAGGUAACCGUAGGGGAACCUGC
rnacentral:rRNA from 1 species